rnacentral:misc_RNA from 1 species
GAUGAAGAACGCAGCGAAAUGCGAUAAGUAAUGUGAAUUGCAGAAUUCAGUGAAUCAUCGAAUCUUUGAACGCACAUUGCGCCCCUUGGUAUUCCGAGGGGCAUGCCUGUUCGAGCGUCAUUAUAACCCCUCAAGCUCAGCUUGGUGUUGGGGCCUGCUGCACUGGCAGCCCUUAAAAUCAGUGGCGGCGCCAUCUGGCUCUAAGCGUAGUAAUUCUUCUCGCUAUGGAGUCCUGGUGGAUGCUUGCCAUCAACCCCCAAUUUUUCUAUGGUUGACCUCGGAUCAGGAAGGGAUACCCGCUGAACUUAAGCAUAUCAAUAAGCGGAGGA